GACCUGUGGCUGGGGGUGAAAGGCCAAUCAAACCGGGAGAUAGCUGGUUCUCCCCGAAAGCUAUUUAGGUAGCGCCUCGUGAACUCAUCUCCGGGGGUAGAGCACUGUUUCGGCUAGGGGGCCAUCCACGAGGGAGCUUACCGUGGAUCAGCGCCUUUCAGGACGCGCAAACGCGUAAACUGUUGCCCGAAGAGCGCAGCGCGGUAGAAAACUAUCUCGAUAACCUUAGCCAGAUCCAGCAAGUUCCGGGGCCG
rnacentral:rRNA from 1 species